CCUACUGAUACAAUCAUGGCAGAGCAGGGAGGAGGAGCCUCAGGAGGUUAUUUAAGAGAUGGGUGUGGUUAUCGGCCUCCCUUUGUCCUUGAGCCUGCUCUGUCCAUGCUGCCACAGCACUUAAGUAGAAGUUUGUUUGACCACUGAAACCACAAAGAAGAUCUAGAGACUUAGAAUUGUUUGUCUACUUUAAAGGACACAUAUGAGUGAGUACAUUUCCUACCUAAGUUUAGAAAGAAUAAUCUAAUUUGACACAGUGCACUAAUUUAUGUUUGUUUAGCAGGAAGCUGAAGCAAUUCCUCACUCCUUGUGUAACAUAUUGGAUGCAUAAAUUAAUGUAAGUUGAUCCCUGUUAGCUUUAAUUUAAUUGUGAUAUGUGCGUGGCAAUGUUUUGAUUUGAUAUAUCUGUUUGUACAGAAAAUCAUCCAUCCAUCCACCUAUUCAUCCAUCCUUCCAUCUUCAUCUUCAAUAAAUGGUUAAUCUGA